rnacentral:rRNA from 1 species
UACGUAGGGGGCAAGCGUUGUCCGGAAUUAUUGGGCGUAAAGCGCGCGCAGGCGGUUUGUUAAGUCUGGUGUUUAAACCCGAGGCUCAACUUCGGGUCGCAUCGGAAACUGGGAGACUGGAGUGUAGGAGAGGGAAGUGGAAUUCCACGUGUAGCGGUGAAAUGCGUAGAGAUGUGGAGGAACACCAGUGGCGAAGGCGACUUCCUGGCCUAUAACUGACGCUGAGGCGCGAAAGCGUGGGGAGCAAACAGG